GAAACGUGCCCAACGAGAAGAUCGCGAUAUGGCUCAAGGACUGCCGUACACCUUUGGGAGCCUCACUGGAUGAACAAAGCAGUAGUACACUCAAGGGUGUGCUUGUGAGAAAUGGAGGAAGUUUUGAAGAUGAUUUGUCAUUGGGAGCUGAAGCCAACCACCUCCAUGAAAGUGAUGCUCAAAUUGAAAACUGCAAUAAUAUCUUGGCCAAAGAGAGAAGAUUACAGUUUCAUCAGAAAGGGAGAAGUAUGA
rnacentral:misc_RNA from 1 species